UUUUUGUAAAGGCGGUAGGUAUGUCGAUAUCUCUAAUAGUUUAAUGGGCUCUUGUGUUUUCUAACCAGGGUCACCAAAACGCGAAUCCUGAUCUUCGAUUACGCUAGUUUUUUAUAGUUUCUCCUUUAUGAAGCCAUUAACGAUUUCUAUUAAUUAUUAGUUACUACUUUUAUUUUGAUGGCCAUUAAAAAGGUUAAUUUCGGAACUAAAUGGCCUACAUACUCGAACAUUUUGGAUUUUAUGUAUGUGAUUAUGGCUUACUGAAUGACGAAAAUUUCUGCGUCUUAUCUGAAGCUUCUUAAAUAGGGGCCUGAAAAUGCGGCGAAAUGGUUCUAGUAAAGGACGGUACGGCAGUGUUUGCUUCGCGCUCGUCUUGGCAGUGGCACUACCGUGCUCCCAGAAAUAGACAAAUGGUACAUUGUAUGCACUUACCAAUAUAAUUAUCUAUUAUUAUCUAUAUAUAUAAAAAUCUAUUGCUGUUCCUUUGUCUCGCUAAAACUCGAGAACGGCUGGACCGAUUUGGCAAAUUUUGGUCUUGAAUUAUUUGUAGAAGUCCAGGGAAGGUUUAAAAGGUGAGAAAAUAUCAAAUAAUUGACGGAAACACCCUAAAAACUGCCCUUUCAUUUAUCCCAUACAAACGUUUUCUAACUAAUACGUAGAGUCAAUUUGAGCUUUAUUGCUAUUGGAUAAAGUUCAUUGUUGGAUAAAUGCUAUUCGAUACUAAAAAACAAAUGCUAUUGAAUAAGUGUGCGUUGGAGACUUGGAGCACAGAAUCCCUACUAAUAUUAUAAAUGCGAAAGUAACUCUGUCUGUCUGUAAUUACGCUUUCAAGCCUAAACCGGUGAACCGAUUUUGAUGGAAUUUAGUACUGAGAUAGAAUAAACCUUGAUACUUUUUAUUGCAAAAAAAUAGCGGAGAAUGGGUAAAAAUAAGGGAUAAAUGGUCAUAUGGAAAUUCGUCAUUUUAAAAGCUGUAACAGUAAAACUUUGUAUUUAGAUACUUAAUGAGGAACGAAAGAACAUGGGCUACUUUUUAUUGCAAAAAAAUAGGGGAGAGUGGGUAAAAAUAGGGGAUGAAUGGUCAUAUGGAAAUUCGUCAUUUUUAAAGCUGUAACAGUGAAAUUUUGUAUUUAGACACUUAAUGAGGAGCGAAAGAACAUAGGCUACUUUUUAAUAAAAAGGGUAGAAGGCGUAGUAUGUUUGAUAGAGGAGAUUAAUGUUUGCUUGAAAAUUCGUCAUUUUCGUUAAUACGUUGCCUGUGGCUUCACUUGCGUUCGAUUCUUAUUUAAAUACACAUAUACUUAUUUAAAUUGCCAAUAUCCCUACUACCAUACUAAUGUUAUGAAUGCGAAAGUAAUCCUGUUUGUGUUGAGGUUACGCUUGCACGUAUGUUUUUUUUUUGGAAUAUAACAACGAACCAAUGUAUUUUUUAUUGAUAGGCAAAAUAUAGGAAAUUAAAGGAUAAUAAUAUAGAUAACCUUGGCUUUUCAUCAUGAUUAUAAAAUGAUGAAUGGCGGUCGUGGUUUCUUUGGAAUACAUAUCUUUAAAAAUGCUAACAGUAACAUAUUCUCAAGUAAUUCACAUUUUAGAUGACAUACGGCAGCAUUUUGACCACUAACACCACUACGCGGACGAAGUCGCGGGCAAAAGCUAAAUUCGAUAAAUUUUCAUUUGUACAUGUCAAAUAUUUGUUGUUUCUAAAUUCAAAUUCUGUAAAUAAUGAUUGACAUUUAUGCAUAAACUAUGAAAAGGGUGAAUAAACCUUUUCUCUGUAUUUUUUUAAUCUAUUGAAAAUGUUGAAAAGUGCAUUAAGCAUUAAUAGAAAUUCCUCAAAUAUUAAUUAUGCGUGUGUUCAGAAAUAAUGACAAAUUAUCAACAGUUACGCGUGUGUUCAGAAAUUUAUUUUGUGUAAAUUAAAGUUUCUAUUUACGUUUUCGAACAAACGAUGCUCUUUCAAUAUAGUCUAUUGGUGUGAAUGACAUUGACAUUCGUAUUGCGCGUUUUUUAAAAUAUGCAAAAUUAAAUGUAUAUUUUUCAAUAUUUCUGAGAGAUUAUCUUAAUAUUUCUUCGAAUUUUAAAGACUAAGAAGAUUUUUAUUUGCUAAUAAGUGUUUGUUAAUCAAGGUAAGUUCACAUCUUCAUUAUUGAUUUUUAGUAACUUUUGGUGACUACACAAUACUACAAUUUGGUAUACAGAAAAUGUAUGAGAGCUUUUUAUUUUCAGUUGGAAUUUCGUUUUUAACAAUGCUACCAACCAGACGUACAAGCUUAGGCCGCAGAACUCGAAAUACGGCAAGUCAAAGAAAUAUAAAAGCAAAUCAAACUGAUGAGCAUCGCGAAGCGCGAAAUGAACUUAAACUGAAUCGAUAUCAAGAUAGAAAUGUUGUGUUUAAUCCCCACAAAGCUGCAUUCAGUUAUAAUGUGGCAAUUGAUUACAGUUCAGAGCAAAUUGUUGCUAUUGGACUAAUGAACAUUGUGUGUCCACAUUGGGAUUGAAAUUAAAAAAUUAAGCCUCUGGAUUGUGUUGCGCCAGCGGCCAAGUCAAAUUGACGCCAUUGGUACCGCCACCAGAUCCACUACAUUCAUUGGUUCAUUUUUUGACUCAUAUCCAGCAGUACAAUAAUUGCUUUCAAAUGACAUCAUUUGGGGCAACAAAAGUUAUACGAGACAAUUUUUUGCCUACUUUUAGCAAAUUCAGGGAUUCAAAUAUAUCAUCAAACAGGUUCCUUAUUGCCAGUGCCUGUUGAAGACUAUACAUUUUUGCAAAUAUAUUUUAUGGACAAUUCAGCAAGAGAAGUCGAUCAGCGUUGCGCACACAACAACUCAGUAAAGAGAUCCAUUGUGAUAAACAAGUUCAAACAUUUUUCCUUCAACACAAUGAAUUAGUUGCAUUAGACCGAUGCAUUAGACAUUCACAAAUGCAUUAGACCGCAUGCCAUCAGAUAAUCACAAAAUUGUCAUCAGAGCCGAUAAGGCGCCUGCAGGACAGUGAAAUGAUUGAAUCCUAUGAAAUAAACACUAUUAUGAAAAUA